AAGGGUUCUCAGGGCGGGGUGCAACUCCCCACCGGCGGUAUAGCCCGCGAGCGCCUUCGGCAACGAAGGGUCAGCAGAUCCGGUGAAACUCCGGGGCCGACGGUAUAGUCCGGAUGGAAGAGAAUCGCG
rnacentral:ncRNA from 2 species